UUAGANGCUGGCGGCAGGCCUAACACAUGCAAGUNCGAGCGGUAACAGUAAAUAGCUUGCUACUUUGCUGACGAGCGGCGGACGGGUGAGUAAUGCUUGGGAACAUGCCUUGAGGUGGGGGACAACAGUUGGAAACGACUGCUAAUACCGCAUAAUGUCUACGGACCAAAGGGGGCUUCGGCUCUCGCCUUUAGAUUGGCCCAAGUGGGAUUAGCUAGUUGGUGAGGUAAUGGCUCACCAAGGCGACGAUCCCUAGCUGGUUUGAGAGGAUGAUCANCCACACUGGNACUGANACACGGCCANGAUU
rnacentral:rRNA from 1 species